CGCUUCUUCUUCUUAAAAAUAUUGCUGUUUGACGUGUGGUUGUCUUUAUUUUGUGGUGGUUGUAUUCAAAAAGCUAACCUAAAGAAAGAUUAUUAUUUGUGAUUAUUUUCAAUUUGUAUAUUUUUGUCUUGGGUUGUUUGGAACUAUUUUAUUAGAAAUCACUAAAUUUUUGAAUUUUACCUGUGACUAGGGAACAUUGUUAUAUUAAGUCUUGGUAUGAAACAAUGUUAAGACAAUACUGUGUGCUUUUUCAGUCCUAUGAAAGAAAAUGUUUUGGAUGUAACAGAGAAGUACUACAACUUUGUUAUGAAGAUUUGUCUUUAUGUUAUUUUUAUAAUGUUCAUGGAUUAUAUUUGUUUUUAUGUUUUCUUCAGUUUAAAUAAAGUUUAUGUUUUACCCA